UACGUAGGGUGCGAGCGUUGUCCGGAUUUAUUGGGCGUAAAGAGCGUGUAGGCGGUCAGGUAGGUCCGUUGUGAAAACUCGAGGCUCAACCUCGAGACGCCGAUGGAAACCAUCUGACUAGAGUCCGGAAGAGGAGAGUGGAAUUCCUGGUGUAGCGGUGAAAUGCGCAGAUAUCAGGAGGAACACCGAUGGCGAAGGCAGGUCUCUGGGCUGACACUGACGCUCAUGCACGAAAGCGUGGGGAGCGAAACAAGG
rnacentral:rRNA from 1 species